UAGGGAAUCUUCCGCAAUGGGCGAAAGCCUGACGGAGCAACGCCGCGUGAGUGAUGAAGGUCUUCGGAUCGUAAAACUCUGUUAUUAGGGAAGAACAAAUGUGUAAGUAACUAUGCACGUCUUGACGGUACCUAAUCAGAAAGCCACGGCUAACUACGUGCCAGCAGCCGCGGUAAUACGUAGGUGGCAAGCGUUAUCCGGAAUUAUUGGGCGUAAAGCGCGCGUAGGCGGUUUUUUAAGUCUGAUGUGAAAGCCCACGGCUCAACCGUGGAGGGUCAUUGGAAACUGGAAAACUUGAGUGCAGAAGAGGAAAGUGGAAUUCCAUGUGUAGCGGUGAAAGGCGCAGAGAUAUGGAGGAACACCAGUGGCGAAGGCGACUUUCUGGUCUGUAACUGACGCUGAUGUGCGAAAGCGUGGGGAUCAAACAGG
rnacentral:rRNA from 1 species